rnacentral:rRNA from 1 species
CAGUCGCCGCGGGAAUACGUAGGUCCCGAGCGUUGUCCGGAUUUAUUGGGCGUAAAGCGAGCGCAGGCGGUUAGAUAAGUCUGAUGUUAAAGGCUGUGGCUUAACCGUAGUACGCUUUGGAAACUGUUUAACUUGAGUGCAGAAGGGGAGAGUGGAAUUCCAUGUGUAGCGGUGAAAUGCGUAGAUAUAUGGAGGAACACCGGUGGCGAAAGCGGCUCUCUGGUCUGUAACUGACGCUGAGGCUCGAAAGCGUGGGGAGCAAACAGGAUUAGAUACCCCCGUAGUCCCUGUCUCUUAUACA